UCCGUGCCGGAGCUAACGCGUUAAAUAUGCCGCCUGGGGAGUACAGUCGCAAGGCUGAAACUCAAAGGAAUUGACGGGGGCCCGCACAAGCGGUGGAGCAUGUGGUUCAAUUCGACGCAACGCGAAGAACCUUACCUGGGCUCGAACGGCUGGUCAACGGGGGUGGAAACACCUUUACCCCGCAAGGGGGUCCAGUCGAGGUGCUGCAUGGCUGUCGUCAGCUCGUGUCGUGAGAUGUUGGGUUAAGUCCCGCAACGAGCGCAACCCUUGUCCUGUGUUGCCAUGCCGCAAGGCGGCACUCGCAGGAGACCGCCAGCGAUAAGCUGGAGGAAGGUGGGGAUGACGUCAAGUCCUCAUGGCCUUUAUGUCCAGGGCUACACACGUGCUACAAUGGCCGGUACAAAGCGUCGCUAACCCGCAAGGGGGAGCCAAUCGCAAAAAACCGGUCUCAGUUCGGAUUGCAGGCUGCAACUCGCCUGCAUGAAGCUGGAAUCGCUAGUAAUGGCAGAUCAGCAUGCUGCCGUGAAUACGUUCCCGGGCCUUGUACACACCGCCCGUCACAUCACGAAAGUGGAUUGUACUAGAAGUCUGCAGGCUGACCCGCAAGGGGGGCAGCGGCCCAAGGUAUGAUCCAUGAUUGGGGUG
rnacentral:rRNA from 1 species